rnacentral:tRNA from 1 species
GUUAUCAUGGCGAAAUUGGCAAACGCGUCGGCGUAUACACCCUGAAGGUCGCUGGUUCGAAUCUAGCCGAUAUCU